AGCACCUCGGUGCUCCCUGGCACCCGUCCCUAGAGCACAGGGUGACCCAAAGCCACUGCCCCAAGUCUCACCUCACUCUGUGCUCCAGCCUGGCCUCCGCGCUCCCCUCUGCUGUCACCUCCACGUCAGGACUUGGCUUUGGAGGAUUCCUGCAGGAAAGGAGACUCACGCCAGCAAGACACCCUGGAAGCACAAAAGGAAGAAGCUCUGCACCACGGUGACAGCUCCCAGAGGAAGGACAUGCUGGCCCGCUCACCACGGGCUACCGCGGGCUGAGCCGGGACUCCUGCAGCCUUUGAGUCCGGCUUUUUACGUGCUUCUCGGUCCAUUCAGACACCUGGCCUUGUCCAACCCUCCCUUUCUAGAGAGACACGUUGCUCCCUGGGGGCUUUGCGUGCCAUCCCUUUUUCAGGGCCACUUUGUGAAGAGAGUCCAGCUGGCACUUCCCUGAGGAGCCCCCGUCUGCCAGAGCUCUUCCCCGCCAGCUCCGGGAGGGGAUGAGCCCCGGCAACGAGGCCCUCGGCAGCUCUGGGUGGCUCUGCCAAGCGGGAGGUGAGACGCUGCUCGCUCGGCCAGUCCAGGGCUGCAGAAGGAAACCUACUCACCGCGCGGACACGAAGACGCCCUCGAGAUGCAUCCGAGAAACGGCCGUCUCUGCGCGGGCGACGAUGCAAGACCUCAGCUUCAGCUUCUGCAACAGAAAGAGAGACAGAGACCCGCCACGAUCUGUCAUCAGGCUGAGGUUAUUCUCCACCACGAACAGCUGGUUCGGGUGAAACUCGGGGCUUUCAGUGCUGAAACGCUGCUGUCAAUGUAACAGAAGCAGUCUUGCAUCGCGUAUGUCACCCAGCCAGACUGUCUGCAAAGAGAAGAGCAAGGAAGGAGCAAAAAAAGGUGUUUCCCGGACAGAUUCCCCGAGCGAUGACUUGUCAGGGGACGCUGAGGCUGCUCUGCAGCCUCUCCUGCCCUGAUGUUCAAAAGGGCAAGACGGGGCGCUCUGGAGCAGAGCCUUGCACUCUCCGUUCUUCCUCUCUCCCUCCUCUUCCCCGCACAGGAGCUGCUGGGUGAUGAAUGAGCAGCGCAAACGCCUGGAGCCUCAGACGGUGCAGGGAGGGACAACGCCUGAGACAAACCCUCUGCAGCGCGCCAGGCUCUCUGGUGGGUCUUUGCACGCGGCCAGGGCUUGAGAAAGCACCAAAGAAGAAACCCCACGCUCUGAUUCUCCAGCAAGGACUUACUUUUUCUUUCUGCUGAGGUGUUUCUUCUGCUUUCAGUGGUGCAGGGGAAACAAGACUGCUCGGCGGCGGGAUGGAAGCAGGGCUCAGCACUCACCAGGUGGGGAGAAGGCCGAGGAAACGAGACCUGCCCGGUUCAGCAGCAGCGCUCGGCGGCAGCACUCGGAGACGCCGUCCCAAAUUUUAGCGGUAUCUGGGGAGUGAGAAGUAGAGGUGCUGGAAGUCACCGAGCUCCCCGCCAUGGCGCCUGCUCCAAACCCGGCAGAUGCCGCCAUCACCACCCCCCCUCCCCCCCGCCGCCGCCGCCAUCUUCCCCCCGGUCCCGCGGCGGAGGCGGCUGCAGAGCCGGUUGGAACUGACCUGCGGCCAGGAGCCCCGCGCUGACCCCGUGGCGGUCUGGAGACGACACCAGGCGUGAGGGGCGCGUGGGGCGAGGGGCUUCUCCCUGCCAAAAGGUGACUUCGCCCACCGCCAUCGCCCCGCAGACUCCGGCAGCCGCCGGCCUCCACGUCCCCCCGCCAGCAGCUUCCGCUUCCGCUGU
rnacentral:lncRNA from 1 species